rnacentral:lncRNA from 1 species
UUUUUUUUUUUUUUUUUUUUUUUUUUUGUCUUUUUGCCAUUUCUUGGGCCGCUCCCGCGACAUAUGGAGGUUCCCAGGCUAGGGAUCUAAUUGGAGCUGUAGCCACCGGCCUACGCCAGAGCCAUAGCAACGCAGGAUCUGAGCCGCAUCUGUGACCUACACCACAGCUCACGGCAAUGCCAGAUCCUUAACCCACUGAGCAAGGCCAGGGAUCGAACCUACAACCUCAUGGUUCCUAGUCGGAUUCGUUAACCACUGCGCCACGACGGGAACUCCAAGAGUAUUUUUUUUUUAAAGAGGUAACAUUCUGAAAUAUUUACAGAUGAAAUGACAUGAUGUCUGGUAUUAGCUUCAAAAUUUUGUACAUUUGAAAUUUUUCAUAAAUGUUAAAAUUAAAGGAAAAAAAGGAGACCACACAGACUAUGUAUGGGUGCAUCACUUUCCAAAGCUGAAUUUGCAACCAUUAAACAUCUGUAUAUUUUCAUCUACUGGACUCAUUAGAAACAAGAACUUGCUUAUUCUCUCCUAAGAAACAGCUACACUUCAUAGGAACUACAGGACUGCUGAUUUAAAGUCUCUGUAUCCUUGACCAGUGCUCAUGACACACUCUCAUUAUGUGGUAAGAAAACUGGGUCAAUAAGCCCAAAAUGGGCUUGCUCUGUGCCCUCCGUAGAAGCUGAAGGAACUGCAGAGUUUAAAACUCUAUUUUAUCUCCUCUGGUCUUCUGGGAAGGGGUGAAGCAGAAUCUCAUGGUGAAACCGCAGGAUACAAACACACGAAGAUGGACUAUCCAGUGUGCCUGGCACCAGAGUGAAAAUGAUUGACAAGAGAGAUCCAAUCCCGCCCUCAGCGGAAACAGACUAAUCAACAUUCACGUACAAUAAAGUAUUACCAGUGCUAUGGUAGGAGACGUACAAGAUGCUGCGGGACACAAAUAGGGGCACCUGCCUCUGACCAGUGUCGGGGAAGGCAGCGUGGACGGCCCCCUGGAAGAAGCAGCCUGCAGUCUCCUGCUGGGCUUGGAGGAAGUCUGUACUCAGGGCGCCAAGUGCGCACCAGAGGCUGGGAUGAGCUGCUACACUGACAACUGGAGCAUGAAGUUAAAAUCUGCACCAGAAGGUGAGAUGCUUUCCCCUCAACCUGCUCUACCCACCCUACCUGCCAAGAGAAGAUUAGCAGCCAAGCUCAGAUGCCUGGGAGUCCCUCCAAUGGAACACGUGGGUUCCUUAUGGUGAACCCCACUAGUCCUCAAGGCUCAUUCACCAACUUCUAGUCAGUCAAGAGCACCACAAACUGGAGAGAAAAAAACCUCCAGCCUGAAAAGACAAAGCCCUAAACAAACAAAAUGGCAUUUGGGGAGUUCCCGUCAUGGCGCAGUGGUUAACGAAUCCGACUAGGAACCAUGAGGUUGCAGGUUCGGUCCCUGCCCUUGCUCAGUGGGUUAACGAUCCGGCGUUGCCAUGAGCUGUGGGGGUUUCAAAAGACUUUGGAUGGCUGCAAAUGACAAAUGGCCACUAUAAUAUUCCUGAUAACCAGAGCCCUUUGUAUGUAAUGUGAAGAUGACUUUGGAAAUGCAUAGCUGUACUGGGUGAGAGGUGAUCAUCCUGAAGGUGAGAGAGAGAACAAAAAUAACAGAAGGCCAAAAGAGCUAGUGUUCUAGCACAUGUGCAUAGGCAGUGCAGACAUCUUUAACUAGCAUUUGUAGAGCCUUCCACAGGCUGUGAUAAGGAAUUAGGGUAAAAUUUUGAAAGCUCCAGGGAAUGGGAAACCGAGAACAUUUAAAAACACUUGUUAAUUGAUUUUAAAAUAAUAAUAAACAAUCAUAUGUUAACAGAAACAGCUUUUAUGAAAAGUAACUAUAUUCCCCCCUCUCCAAAUAAUGAGAAGAGUAGCACAGUUUUACAUUUUUGCAUUAACAGAACACAGCUGGCUUCUCACAGUUGCUUCUGCAUUUGGGCUUUUGUAGUAUCACACAUGAGUAUACACUUAUGAAAGAAUGAGAGUAAAAAAAGCAUGUAAGUCUGCGUAUCAUUACAAAAAUAAUUUUCACCUCACAGACUCCUUGAAAGAGUCUCAGGGGUCCCUCUGGGUCCUUGGACUACACUUUGAGAACUGCUGAUCUAAUGAAAAUUCUAACUGUACUGGGAGAGGUAGGAACAGGGAGUGUGCAUUGAAAUGCAUAGCGCUAAACCAGCAGAAUUACAGGGAGAAAUUAACAAACUCAUGAAAAACAAAAUUCUUAUCUCUAACCAAGGGGAAGUCAAUAGAUAAUGCCUAAACUGAAAAAUUAAGUUUCUCCAAGCAUAGCUGUUCAUACAUGUAUGUACCUAUCAAAAGAAUUAGCUAAGAGCUGGAAGUGGGAGUCUGGGGGAAGAGAAAAUGGGGAGCAGGGAGGCCAGGGGCUGGUGUUUAUCUCAACAAAUCUUGAGGAACUAUUUAAUUCUUUAAGUGAUAUGCACUUAGCAAACUACCUAUAUAUCUUUGAUAAAAUUUCUUCUUAAAAAUGUAAAAAGAAAGAGAGCCUGAAUAGACCAUAACCCCCAAAACCCCACACACCAUUAGAAAAAGUUGCCAAAGAAUUACUUCCCCCUAGAAAGGCAUCAACACCAAAUAGUUUUACAGGAACUAUCUACUGAAUUCUAUGGAAAAGAUAAUUCCUAUAUUAUAUAAACCAUUUUAGAACAGCAAGCUUCCUAUGAAGCAAUUUUAAAAUAAAUAGUUAUUCUAUCACAGGCCAGACAAUGCAAUUAAAUACAAGAAAUAUUGACCAAUCUUUCUGAAUGGAUUGGGGAGGAUGAGUUAUACAUAGAGAAGAGCAACCUACUGCUUUGAGUGUACUGACUGACUUUUUUUCCCUUUGGCUUUGUCCAGAGCAUGCAAAAAUUCCUGGACCAGGGACUG